UACGUAGGGUGCGAGCGUUAAUCGGAAUUACUGGGCGUAAAGCGUGCGCAGGCGGUUUUGCAAGCCGGAUGUGAAAUCCCCGGGCUUAACCUGGGAAUGGCAUUUGGGACUGCAAGGCUGGAGUGCGGCAGAGGAGACUGGAAUUCCUGGUGUAGCAGUGAAAUGCGUAGAUAUCAGGAGGAACACCGAUGGCGAAGGCAGGUCUCUGGG
rnacentral:rRNA from 1 species